UGUCUCAGUUCGGAUUGGAGGCUGAAACCCGCCUCCAUGAAGUUGGAUUCGCUGUAAUCGCGCAUCAGCCAUGGCGCGGUGAAUACGUUCCCGGGCCUUGUACACACCGCCCGUCAAGCCAUGGAAGCUGGGGGUGCCUGAAGUUCGUGACCGGAAGGAGCGACCUAGGGCAAAACCGGUGACUGGGGCUAAGUCGUAACAAGGUACC
rnacentral:rRNA from 1 species